rnacentral:rRNA from 1 species
ACCGGAUACGCCCUCCGGGGGAAAGAUUUAUCGCUGAAGGAUCGGCCCGCGUUAGAUUAGCUUGUUGGGGAGGUAAUGGCUCACCAAGGCGACGAUCUAUAGCUGGUCUGAGAGGAUGAUCAGCCACACUGGGACUGAGACACGGCCAAAACUCCUACGGGAGGGAGGAGUGGGGAAUCUUGCACAAUGGGCGAAAGCCUGAUGCAGCCAUGCCGCGUGAAUGAUGAAGGCCUUAGGGUUGUAAAAUUCUUUCAUCAGGGACGAUAAUGACGGUACCUGAAGAAGAAGCCCCGGCUAACUUCGUGCCAGCAGCCGCGGUAAUACGAAGGGGGCUAGCGUUGUUCGGAAUUACUGGGCGUAAAGCGCGCGUAGGGGGACUAUUAAGUCAGGUGUGAAAUCCCGGGGCUCAACCUCGGAACUGCAUUUGAAACUGGUAGUCUAGGGGCCAGGAGAGGUUAGUGGAACGCCGAGUGUAGAGGUGAAAUUCGUAGAUAUUCGGUGGAACACCAGUGGGGAAGGCGACUGACUGGACUGGGACUGACGCUGAGGUGCGAAAG